CGGGACGGGUGAGUAAUGUCUGGGAAACUGCCUGAUGGAGGGGGGUAACUACUGGAAACGGUAGCUAAUACCGCAUAACGUCGCAAGACCAAAGAGGGGGACCUUCGGGCCUCCUUGCCAUCGGAUGUGCCCAGAUGGGAUUAGCUAGUAGGUGGGGUAACGGCUCACCUAGGCGACGAUCCCUAGCUGGUCUGAGAGGAUGACCAGCCACACUGGAACUGAGACACGGUCCAG
rnacentral:rRNA from 1 species